GCAUAUCAAUAAGCGGAGGAAAAGAAACCAACCGGGAUUGCCUUAGUAACGGCGAGUGAAGCGGCAAAAGCUCAAAUUUGAAAUCUGGUACCUUCGGUGCCCGAGUUGUAAUUUGUAGAAGGUAACUUUGGGGCUGGUCCUUGUCUAUGUUCCUUGGAACAGGACGUCAUAGAGGGUGAGAAUCCCGUGUGGCGAGGAUCCCAGUUCUUUGUAAAGUGCUUUCGAAGAGUCGAGUUGUUUGGGAAUGCAGCUCUAAGUGGGUGGUAAAUUCCAUCUAAAGCUAAAUAUUGGCGAGAGACCGAUAGCGAACAAGUACAGUGAUGGAAAGAUGAAAAGAACUUUGAAAAGAGAGUGAAAAAGUACGUGAAAUUGUUGAAAGGGAAGGGCAUUUGAUCAGACAUGGUGUUUUGCGCCCUCUGCUCCUUGUGGGUGGGGGAAUCUCGCAGCUCACUGGGCCAGCAUCAGUUUUGGCGGCAGGAUAAAUCUGCAGGAAUGUAGCUUGCCUCGGUAAGUGUUAUAUCCUGUAGAAAUACUGCCAGCUGGGACUGAGGACUGCGACUUUACGUCAAGGAUGCUGGCAUAAUGGUUAUAUGCCGCCCGUCUUGAACCACCGGACCAA
rnacentral:rRNA from 1 species